rnacentral:rRNA from 1 species
UACGGAGGGUGCGAGCGUUGUCCGGAAUCAUUGGGCGUAAAGAGCGUGUAGGCGGCCACUUAAGUCCUGCGUGAAAUCUUGCGGCUCAACCGCAAGCGGUCGUGGGAAACUGGGUGGCUAGAGUGCGGGAGAGGAGAGUGGAAUUCCUGGUGUAGCGGUGGAAUGCGCAGAUAUCAGGAGGAACACCGGUGGCGAAGGCGGGUCUCUGGGAAACAACUGACGCUGAGGAACGAAAGCGUGGGAAGCGAACAGG